GUUGCUACCGAUUCAUUUUGCAGACUCGAGGGGAAGAUCGCACUCAUAACUGGAGGAGCGAGUGGGCUCGGAAAGGCCACGGCUCACGAGUUCAUCCAGGAGGGCGCGUCCGUGGUCAUCGCCGACGUCAACUCAGCGUUGGGCAUAGAGACAGCCCAGGAGCUAGGCCCACAGGCCCAUUUCGUCCACUGCGACGUCACCGUCGAGGAGAGCGUCGCCGCGGCCGUGGACGCCACCGUCACGAAGCACGGCCGGCUCGACGUCAUGUUCAACAACGCCGGCAUCGUGGGCGCGCUCUCCGGGACGUCGGAGGUGGCCAGCCUGGAUCUGGGCCAGUUCGACCGCGUCAUGAGCGUGAACGUGCGCGGCACCCUGGCGGGGAUCAAGCACGCGAUGCGCGUCAUGGCGCCGGCGGGCUCCGGCUCCAUCCUCUGCAUGGCCAGCAUCAGCGGCCUCCUCGGAGGCCUCGGCACGUACCCCUACGCGGUCUCCAAGCUCGCCGUCGCCGGGCUCGUCAAGACCGCCGCCGCCGAGCUGUCUCGCCACGGCGUCCGGAUCAACUGCAUAUCGCCGCACGCCGUGCCGACGCCGCUGGUGCUGGAGCAGUUCUCGCAGCUGUACGCUGGCGCGGACGAGGCGCAGCUGGCCGCCAUCAUCGGCGGCCUCGGCGAGCUCAAGGGCGCGACGUGCGAGGCGGUGGACGUGGCCAAGGCGGCCGUGUACCUCGCGUCCGACGAUGCCAAGUAUGUCUCCGGCCAGAACCUGGUGGUGGACGGCGGCUUCACCACCUACAAGUACAUGAACAUGCCACCCCGCAAGCCUCAGGGUCAGCCGGUCAGGAGCGAGUGA
rnacentral:rRNA from 1 species